AUGGCUCAGGAUGAACGCUAGCUACAGGCUUAACACAUGCAAGUCGAGGGGCAGCAUGGUCUUAGCUUGCUAAGAUUGAUGGCGACCGGCGCACGGGUGAGUAACGCGUAUCCAACCUUCCCUAUAGUAGGGGGAUAGCCCGUAGAAAUGCGGAUUAAUACCCUAUGUUGUAUUUAGAUGACAUCUGACGAAUACCAAAGGUUCACCGCUAUAGGAUGGGGAUGCGUCUGAUUAGGUAGUCGGCGGGGUAACGGCCCACCGAGCCAACGAUCAGUAGGGGUUCUGAGAGGAAGGUCCCCCACAUUGGAACUGAGACACGGUCCAAACUCCUACGGGAGGCAGCAGUGAGGAAUAUUGGUCAAUGGGCGAGAGCCUGAACCAGCCAAGUAGCGUGCCAGGAUGACGGCCCUAUGGGUUGUAAACUGCUUUUAUGCGGGGAUAAAGUGAGGGACGUGUCCCUUAUUGUAGGUACCGCAUGAAUAAGGACCGGCUAAUUCCGUGCCAGCCGCAGC
rnacentral:rRNA from 1 species